GACGAACGCUGGCGGCGUGCUUAACACAUGCAAGUCGAACGGAAAGGCCCUGCUUGCAGGGUGCUCGAGUGGCGAACGGGUGAGUAACACGUGGGUGAUCUGCCCCUUACUUUGGGAUAAGCCUGGGAAACUGGGUCUAAUACUGGAUAGGACCAUGCUGUAGGUGGUGUGGUGGAAAGAUUAGUUUCGGUAAGGGAUGAGCUCGCGGCCUAUCAGCUUGUUGGUGGGGUAAUGGCCUACCAAGGCGUCGACGGGUAGCCGGCCUGAGAGGGUGGACGGCCACAUUGGGACUGAGAGACGGCCUAGACUCCUACGGGAGGCAGCAGUGGGGAAGAUUGCACAAUGGGCGCAAGCCGGAUGCAGCGACGCCGCGUGGGGGAUGACGGCCUUCGGGUUGUAAACUCCUUUCAGCCAUGACGAAGCCCUUGUGGUGACGGUAGUGGUAGAAGAAGCACCGGCUAACUACGUG
rnacentral:rRNA from 1 species